rnacentral:tRNA from 1 species
UUUUAAGUAACCUAGGUUAGGUGCUAAACUUUUAAUUUAGUUACGAUAUGAAAUAUCCUUAGAGC